UGGGGGAUAUUGCACAAUGGGCGAAAGCCUGAUGCAGCGACGCCGCGUGGGGGAUGAAGGCCUUCGGGUUGUAAACUUCUUUUGCUCUGAACAAGGCAUGCCUUUGGGGUGUGUUGAGUGUAGGGGUUGAUUAGCGCCGGCUAACUACGUGCCAGCAGCCGCGGUAAUACGUAGGGCGCGAGCGUUGUCCGGAAUUAUUGGGCGUAAAGGGCUUGUAGGUGGCUGGUUGCGUCUGUCGUGAAAGCUCAUGGCUUAACUGUGGGUUUGCGGUGGGUACGGGCUGGCUUGAGUGCAGUAGUUGAGGCUGGAAUUCCUGGUGUAGCGGUGGAAUGCGCAGAUAUCAGGAGGAAUACCGGUGGCGAAGGCGGGUCUCUGGGCUGUUACUGACGCUGAGGAGCGAAAGCGUGGGGAGCGAACAGG
rnacentral:rRNA from 1 species